rnacentral:lncRNA from 1 species
UCUCUCUCUCUCUCUCUCUCUCUCUCUCUCUGCGCAAAGACAAGAUUUUGACAUAGAGCUGGUCUUGCAAUUGCCCUCCAUUUUAAUUGAGUAUUCAAGGGUAUAUCUAUCUAUGUAUACAAUUCAACUUUCAAUAUUUGAAGUGUGCUCUCUCACCUAUUUCCCACAAUCUUAAUGCUUUUUAUUUUCUGUUUUCUUUGAUUUCUCCAAAUAUAUGCCGAUAAAAGAAAUAAAUUCCCACCAAACUUCUGAGCAAGAAUGCAUGUCCUGCUGGUCGACAUCUUUCUCGAGAACCUUGCCCUACAAUAAUUUGGGAGUUCUGACUUCGUUGGUGACUACACGCGUCAAAAUGGUGAUUUUGGUGGUCCUUGAUAGAGGAAUGGAUUGCCUGAAGAUGGUUUUCAAAAUUCACAAAAAAGGAGAGGCGGUAUGAUUUUCUUGCUUCAUUUCAGAGAAAGAUGGGGGGGUGGGGUUGCAAUGAGCACACCUCCAAAUCCACAGAUACCAUCAGAUCAUAUAUUCACCAGAAACUCGAUGGGCAAAUAGAUGGAUAAACACAUUCUGGCAUUAGGCUAUCCCCAAAACUACUUCCUUAGAAGUUUGUUGUUAAAAACCUUUUAAGGGAUGCUUACCCGCUUCCGGUAACUAAGAAUCAUACUUGUCUUCAAGAAAGAAGCAAAUCCUGAAGCAAAAUAAAAUGAAUAUCAUCUUCACUGCACA